GACGAACGCUGGCGGCGUACUUAACACAUGCAAGUCGAACGAAGUGGCGAACGGGUGAGUAACGCGUAAUCAACUUGCCCUCCAGAGGGGGACAACAGUUGGAAACGACUGCUCAUAUCGCAUACUGAAGGAGGGGAUUGCGUCUGAUUAGCGAGUUGGAGGGGGAAGGGCCCACCAAGGCGAUGAGCAGUAGCCGGUCUGGGAGGAUGAACGGGCACAUUGGGACUGGGACACGGCCCAGACUCCUACGGGAGGGAGCAGUGGGGAAUCUUCCGCAAUGGAAGAAAGUCUGACGGAGCAACGCCGCGUGAGUGAUGACGGCCUUCGGGUUGUAAAGCUCUGUUAGUCGGGACGCGGUACCGAAAUAGAAAGCCACGGCUAACUACGUGCCAGCAGCCGCGGUAAUAC
rnacentral:rRNA from 1 species